rnacentral:rRNA from 1 species
UACGUAGGGUGCAAGCGUUAAUCGGAAUUACUGGGCGUAAAGCGUGCGCAGGCGGCUUUGCAAGACAGAUGUGAAAUCCCCGGGCUCAACCUGGGAACUGCAUUUGUGACUGCAAGGCUGGAGUACGGCAGAGGGGGAUGGAAUUCCGCGUGUAGCAGUGAAAUGCGUAGAUAUGCGGAGGAACACCUGAGGCGAAGGCGGGUUGCUGGGCCAACACUGACGCUGAGGCGCGAAAGCCAGGGUAGCAAACGGG